rnacentral:rRNA from 1 species
UUCAGAGGUCCCGAGCGUUGUUCGGAUUUACUGGGCGUAAAGGGAGCGUAGGCGGUUCGGUAUGUCGAAUGUGAAAGCCCACAACUCAACUGUGGAAAUGCAUUCGAAACUGCCGGGCUAGAGUGCUGGAGAGGAUAGUGGAAUUCCAUGUGUAGCGGUGAAAUGCGUAGAUAUAUGGAGGAACACCAGUGGCGAAGGCGACUCUCUGGUCUGUAACUGACGCUGAGGCGCGAAAGCGUGGGGAUCAAACAGGAUUA